rnacentral:rRNA from 1 species
CAGCAGCCGCGGUAAUACGAAGGGGGCUAGCGUUGCUCGGAAUUACUGGGCGUAAAGGGCGCGUAGGCGGACAGUUAAGUUGGGGGUGAAAGCCCGGGGCUCAACCUCGGAAUUGCCUUCAAUAAUGGCUGUCUUGAGUACGGGAGAGGUGAGUAGAACUCCGAGUGUAGAGGUGAAAUUCGUAGAUAUUCGGAAGAACACCAGUGGCGAAGGCGACUCACUGGCCCGUUACUGACGCUGAGGCGCGAAAGCGUGGGGAGCAAACAGGAUUAGAUACCCUGGUAGUCCACGCCGUAAACGAUGAGUGCUAGUUGUCGGCAUGCAUGCAUGUCGGUGACGCAGCUAACGCAUUAAGCACUCCGCCUGGGGAGUACGGUCGCAAGAUUAAAACUCAAAGAAAUUGACGG